ACGAACGCUGGCGGCGUGCUUCACACAUGCAAGUCGAACGGAAAGGCCCUGCUUUUGUGGGGUGCUCGAGUGGCGAACGGGUGAGUAACACGUGAGUAACCUGCCCUUGACUUUGGGAUAACUUCAGGAAACUGGGGCUAAUACCGGAUAGGAGCUCCUGCUGCAUGGUGGGGGUUGGAAAGUUUCGGCGGUUGGGGAUGGUCUCGCGGCUUAUCAGCUUGUUGGUGGGGUAGUGGCUUACCAAGGCUUUGACGGGUAGCCGGCCUGAGAGGGUGACCGGCCACAUUGGGACUGAGAUACGGCCCAGACUCCUACGGGAGGCAGCAGUGGGGAAUAUUGCACAAUGGGCGGAAGCCUGAUGCAGCAACGCCGCGUGCGGGAUGACGGCCUUCGGGUUGUAAACCGCUUUCGCCUGUGACGAAGCGUGAGUGACGGUAAUGGGUAAAGAAGCACCGGCUAACUACGUG
rnacentral:rRNA from 1 species